rnacentral:rRNA from 1 species
AGAACGAACGCUGGCGGCAUGCCUAAUACAUGCAAGUCGAACGAACACUUCGGUGUUAGUGGCGCACGGGUGCGUAACGCGUGGGAAUCUGCCCUUGGGUUCGGAAUAACAGUUGGAAACGACUGCUAAUACCGGAUGAUAUCGAAAGAUCAAAGAUUUAUCGCCCAGGGAUGAGCCCGCGUAGGAUUAGCUAGUUGGUGGGGUAAAGGCCCACCAAGGCGACGAUCUGUAGCUGGUCUGAGAGGACGACCAGCCACACUGGAACUGAGACACGGUCCAGACUCCUACGGAGGCAGCAGUGGGGAAUUUUGGACAAUGGGCGCAAGCCUGAUCCAGCAAUGCCGCGUGCAGGAUGAAGGCCUUCGGUGUAAACUGCUUUUGUACGGAACGAAACGGGUCCUUUCUAAUUACCAAGGGCUAAUGAACGGUACCGUAAGAAUAAGCAACCGGCUAACGUACGUGCCAGCAGCCGC